rnacentral:rRNA from 1 species
AUUGAACGCUGGCGGCAGGCCUAACACAUGCAAGUCGAGCGGAUGAAGGGAGCUUGCUCCUGGAUUCAGCGUCGGACGGGUGAGUAAUGCCUAGGAAUCUGCCGGGUAGUGGGGUAUAACGUCCGGAAACGGGCGCUAAUACCGCAUACGUCCUGAGGGAGAAAGUGGGGGAUCUUCGGACCGCACGCUAUCAGAUGAGCCUAGGUCGGAUUAGCUAGUUGGUGGGGUAAAGGCCUACCAAGGCGACGAUCCGUAACUGGUCUGAGAGGAUGAUCAGUCACACUGGAACUGAGACACGGUCCAGACUCCUACGGGAGGCAGCAGUGGGGAAUAUUGGACAAUGGGCGAAAGCCUGAUCCAGCCAUGCCGCGUGUGUGAAGAAGGUCUUCGGAUUGUAAAGCACUUUAAGUUGGGAGGAAGGGCAGUAAGUUAAUACCUUGCUGUUUUGACGUUACCAACAGAAUAAGCACCGGCUAACUUCGUG